rnacentral:tRNA from 1 species
CAGGGAGACAACAAAAUGUUUAAUAUUAUUAUUUUGUCACCUUAGGUCGAUCGGUAUCUCACAUUUUUAAUUUAUUAAGAAUUUUAUUUCCUAAGUUUUUCUAGGUCACACCCAUUAUUUUUCCUGGGCCAUUAGCUCAGGUGGUUAGAGCGCACCCCUGAUAAGGGUGAGGUCCCUGGUUCAAGUCCAGGAUGGCCCAUAUCUCUAUGUUGGGGGUAUAGCUCAGUUGGUAGAGCGCCUGCUUUGCAAGCAGGAUGUCAGCGGUUCGAGUCCGCUUACCUCCACUGAUUACCACCUCUUCCAUAACCGGUAGAAAGGAAAUGUUUUGAGUUGUGAUCAAAUUCUGAAAGAAUCUAGCUUCCUAAUGAAAUCAUUAAGAUGCUGGACUCAUUGAAUUAAUUUCAUUGUUUUCAGAGAACCUUGACAACUGCAUAGAUUAUUUUUAAAGACAAUAAGCAUCUUUUAAUGAUGCAGAUUUAUUAUUUGUGCGAAUGCAUUAAUAACAAUUCUAUUAAGCUGAUGCUUCAAUUUUGAAGUUAUU